CCUACGGGGGGCAGCAGUGAGGAAUAUUGGUCAAUGGGCGGGAGCCUGAACCAGCCAAGCCGCGUGAGGGAAGAAGGUACAGCGUAUCGUAAACCUCUUUUGUCAGGGAACAAAGGCGGGGACUAGUCCCCGGAUGAGGGUACCUGAAGAAAAAGCAUCGGCUAACUCCGUGCCAGCAGCCGCGGUAAUACGGAGGAUGCGAGCGUUAUCCGGAUUUAUUGGGUUGAAAGGGUGAGCAGGCGGCCUGUUAAGUCAGCGGGAAAAGCCCGGGGCUCAACCCCGGCGAGCCGUUGAAACGGGCGGGCUGGAGUUGGAGAGAAGUACGCGGAAUGCGCGGUGUAGCGGUGAAAUGCUUAGAUAUCGCGCAGAACCCCGAUUGCGAAGGCAGCGUACCGGCUCCACACUGACGCUGAGGCACGAAAGCGUGGGUAUCGAACAGGAUUAGAUACCCCUGUAGUC
rnacentral:rRNA from 1 species